GUAUUUGUUUAUUAAAUCAAAUUUUAGUCAAGUGUUUAACAUUAGACGCGUAGAGACUAAAAAUUGGCAGGCCGAAGAAAACUCUCCGUUGAUGCUAGUCGCACUGGACGACUUCACACCCCCACACACUAAAUAAUGCGUGGUUCCACCUGCCAACGGACAUGUCAAUGGUUCACACAAGGUGGAUAUGGAUAUAAUUAUCCAUUUUUGUGGACAAUUUGUUAAUGAUCCUUCCGCAGGUUCACCUACGGAAA
rnacentral:misc_RNA from 1 species